CGGCGAUAUUCAACUAAUUACUUUACUAUAAGAAUGAAAAAAAUAUCAUUCUUUAUUAUACUGCUCUUGUUAUACAUAGUUAUAUGACUAAAGUAAAAACAUCGCUAGUGUUUGUAUGAUGACGAGGCAAAUUAUGCGUCAUUUCAAGUUACAUAAGUCAGGGUGUCAGUUAAAAGAUCCACAUAUAUUAUAUACUUUGAUGAAUAAGUCGGUAUUGAUUAUUUAAGUGUCCCUAAAAAAACAUACAUAAAUUAACAAUUCAAAGAACACAUUAUAAUGUUAUAAACUGUCAACAAGAAAGUGCGCAUGCGCCAUAUCCGCCAUUUUGUGUGACCAGUGAGGAGUGAGGGGCGGAGUUUGGCGGCGGCGGUGGCGGCGGCGGUGGGUGGCUGCGGGUGGUGGUCGCCGCCACGCCAGUAGGCCGAUGAGCGCCGCCCCGGGAGGAGGGUUGACGGUGCUAGGAGCUGGUAGGGAGGGAGACACUCCUUUAUGUUGACAAAUUAAAGGGAACAAUCCGCUCUAGAAGGAAGGGAUCUGUACUGCUCGAGGGUGAGGUAUCCACGAACUCUGCCAUUCGUCCCCCCCAAAAAAUACUACUGGCAAGGAUGAUGCCUCCCUCUACUGACGAAGGUGGUGGUGAGGCGACGUAGAAGUGAGUGUGCCUUGUGUGCCCCAAGACUGCCUGCUGGCCUGCGUCACCCACCACCACCUAGACGAGACUCUGCCACCACCUGCGUCCCUCGCCAGGAGUAUCGUGGUAGGCGAAUCUCUCGAGCUUGUGACUCUGUCUGAGGGGGUGUUAGGAUAUUGUCACUCACGCCAUGUAGGUUGAUAGCCUGCAGUGAUGAGAUUAGGGAAGGUUCUACCACAGUACAGACUGAUGGGAGGUCGUCCAGCCUGUUAUGUGGGAUAGAGUAAGGGGUGAUGAACAGUCCAAAAGCAGCCUGCAAUGCAAAUAUAAGGGAAAAUACCACUGUUUUCUCACUUUGGACUGACUAACCACAGCGAAUAAAAUUAACCCAGAUAUGCCCGGCAGUAGAGGCGCGACGUAGAUUCAUCUCAAAUUAGUGCCGAGGAAACAAGACCGACAAGCAAGUAAUAUUGUCCUUCAAUUUUAAAUAAUUUCCUUUUUUUUAUAAAUAAGCGGAUGUUUUGCCACUUGGUGUGUGUCUGUCGGCUCGAUGGUUAUAACCGAAUUCCAACAAGUGUUACUACAAGUUGGUGGUUGUAAGAUAAGGAUAACUAACUAUUUAUGUGCUGUGGCUGAACCGUAACAACUUGCGGCUAUAGAUUUUUUUUAUGGAAUGAUAGAAAGAGGUGAUUCCCUUCAUAAACAUCUCGAACUUGAAGAAACUGACAAAUAAAAGAUAAAACAUAUUUUUUUAAACAAAUGCUUCUGAUAUUUAACGCAAAUUAACUUCGGUUUUUGUUUAUUGUGAUAGUCUGGAUCGAAGUUUCUUAUGACUCGGAUUAUUGAAGUUAGUGACACUAUAUUUAAGCUAUACCAUAAUUUAUGUAUACUUGUAAUAACAAACAUUUGGUAAACACACAUUAUACACACGUCAAAUAUAUCUUCCUUUAAACAUUAGAAAAUCUAUUUGGUAAUAAUAUUGAAAGAGGUACAGUUUACAAUAUACUGUAUAUUCCGUUAUAAAUUAUAUAUAAGAAGAAUAAAAUGUAAGAAGUAUUACAAUAAUUGUGAAAACUUUCAUUGAAAAAAUAAAUGUAGUGAAAUAAAGGAAGAACAGAAAGUGAAAAAUAA